rnacentral:rRNA from 1 species
AUUGAACGCUGGCGGCAGGCCUAACACAUGCAAGUCGAACGGUAACAGGAAGAUGCUUGCUUCUUUGCUGACGAGUGGCGGACGGGUUAGUAAUGUCUGGGAAACUGCCUGAUGGAUGGGGAUAACUACUGGAAACUGUUACUAAUACCGCAUAACGUCGCAAGACCGAGGAGGUUGGGCUUCGGGCCUCUUGGCUUCGCCUGUGUCCAGAUGGGAUGAGCUUGUAGGUGGGGUAACGGCUCACCUAGGCGACGAUCCCUAGCUGGUCUGAGAGGAUGACCAGCCACACUGGAACUGAGACACGGUCCAGACUCCUACGGGAGGCAGCAGUGGGGAAUAUUGCACAAUGGGCGAAAGCCUGAUGCAGCCAUGCCGCGUGUAUGAAGAAGGCCUUCGGGUUGUAAAGUACUUUCAGCGGGGAGGAAGGGAGUAAAGUUAAUACCUUUGCUCAUUGACGUUACCAACAGAAGAAGCACCGGCUAACUCCGUG